rnacentral:rRNA from 1 species
GAUCCUGGCUCAGGAUGAACGCUAGCUACAGGCUUAACACAUGCAAGUCGAGGGGAAACGAUAUUGGAAGCUUGCUUCCGAUAGGCGUCGACCGGCGCACGGGUGAGUAACGCGUAUCCAACCUGCCCACCACUUGGGGAUAACCUUGCGAAAGUAAGACUAAUACCCAAUGAUAUCUCUAGAAGACAUCUGAAUGGGAUUAAAGAUUUAUCGGUGAUGGAUGGGGAUGCGU